GAGCUUCGAUGGUGGUAAGACGUGCCUGUCUCUCUCUCUCUAGUGCAUCCCCAUUUUCUGAGAAUUGCUAGGGUCGAUGCCGACCCACAUGAUGCUAGAAAGUUAGCAAAUUUGGCCAUCGCACUUGUCGUGGGAGGGGGGCCCAUUUACUGUACAUAUCCAUUAGGUGGUAGAUGUGGCCAUCAGAGUAAGCGCCGGCUGCGGCCAUUUUGUUGGCAGAUCCGAAAAAUUUUGACCUCUAUGGGUCUGACACCUUUUCUGGCUGUGGCACAUUGUAAAUUAUAGUUUUAGGAAGGAAUCCCUCAAUUUAUUUUCUUAUGUAGGC